rnacentral:lncRNA from 1 species
UACUUUCUUGUCUUCUUGGAGAGGUUAGUUGAAAUACCUAUUUUUAACUCCAAACAGUUGUGAUCAUUCUUAGCCAAACUGAAGCCCACCCAACGUCGACACUGAUGUUGACCAACCCGUCAGAAGAAGCAUUACCGAGUACAUGCUUGCUAGAGAGAAGAUGAGAUGAAAUAACACUGGUUUAUUCUCAUCCUUGUUAUUGUCUUGUUCCUCCAAUUUAUCAAAUGGAAGCAAUGGUUUCUCACUACCUUCUACCAAUUUUACCAGAACGAGGCGAAGACGGUGGAGAAAGUAGAGCAGUUGAAGAACAAGCACGAACGAGAGGAUGGUGGUAAAAAGGCCCAAAGUCAUGCUUCCAUUGUAGUAGAGAGAAAUCACUGAAUUGAACAGGUAUUAAAUGUUUGUAGUUUCAGAGUUUCCAUUUUUUGGGGGCUUCCAUUAAACUCAUUGUUAGAGCCUACUCUGCAUCGCUGCCCCAAAUCUGAUAACCAUGCAAUUUCCAUUUUCCUCUCUUAUUUUGUAAAUACCAAAUAAACAAGCCCUCUUGUUACAUGA